rnacentral:rRNA from 1 species
AAACUUAAAGGAAUUGACGGGGGCCCGCACAAGCGGUGGAGCAUGUGGUUUAAUUCGACGCAACGCGAAGAACCUUACCAGGGCUUGACAUCCCCUGACCGUCUAUGAAAGUAGGCUUUCACCUUCGGGUAGACAGGGAGACAGGUGGUGCAUGGUUGUCGUCAGCUCGUGUCGUGAGAUGUUGGGUUAAGUCCCGCAACGAGCGCAACCCUUACGGUUAGUUGCCAGCGGGUUAUGCCGGGCACUCUAGCUGAACUGCCGUUGACAAAACGGAGGAAGGUGGGGAUGACGUCAAAUCAUCAUGCCCUUUAUGUCCUGGGCUACACACGUGCUACAAUGGCCUGUACAGAGGGAAGCGAAAGGGUGACCUGGAGCGAAUCCCAAAAAGCAGGUCUCAGUUCGGAUUGCAGGCUGCAACCCGCCUGCAUGAAGUCGGAAUCGCUAGUAAUCGCAGGUCAGCAUACUGUGGUGAAUACGUUCCCGGGCCUU